GCCUCUGUGGUGAAAUUGGUAGACGCGCUCGACUCAAAAUCGAGUAUCGAAAGAUGUGCCAGUUCGAGUCUGGCCAGAGGCACCA
rnacentral:tRNA from 1 species